rnacentral:rRNA from 1 species
AGUCGAACGAACCUUCGGGUUAGUGGCGGACGGGUGAGUAACGCGUGAGAAUCUGCCCUCAGGAGGGGGACAACAGUUGGAAACGACUGCUAAUACCCCAUAUGCCGCGAGGUGAAAUGAAUUUCGCCUGAGGAUGAGCUCGCGUCUGAUUAGCUAGUUGGUGUAGGUAAUGGCUCACCAAGGCAUCGAUCAGUAGCUGGUCUGAGAGGAUGAUCAGCCACACUGGGACUGAGACACGGCCCAGACUCCUACGGGAGGCAGCAGUGGGGAAUUUUCCGCAAUGGGCGAAAGCCUGACGGAGCAACGCCGCGUGAGGGAUGAAGGCCUCUGGGCUGUAAACCUCUUUUAUCAAGGAAGAAGAUCUGACGGUACUUGAUGAAUAAGCCACGGCUAAUUCCGUGCCAGCAGCCGCGGUAAUACGGGAGUGGCAAGCGUUAUCCGGAAUUAUUGGGCGUAAAGCGUCCGCAGGCGGCCCUUCAAGUCUGCUGUUAAAAAGUGGAGCUUAACUCCAUCAUGGCAGUGGAAACUGUUGGGCUUGAGUGUGGUAGGGGCAGAGGGAAUUCCCGGUGUAGCGGUGAAAUGCGUA